AAAAAGGCAGGCAGCAACAAGGAACUGCUAAUUCUUGCACUCACAGUUAAACUCUGUG
rnacentral:tRNA from 1 species